AUUGGAGUCGGUUUGAAAAACAGCCGCUCUCUGCAGUUUAGUGGCGAUUUCCGUGACAAAUUGGAGAGAAGCCGCUAUUUGUUCUUUCUUUCCCUCAUCCAUCACACGAGCAUUCUCCACCACGCCCGCCGCAUGUUCUUCUUCUCCUUCUUCCUUUAUUUCUUUAUUUGGAUUGUGGUUUAUUUUUCUUCUUUUUUUUCUGCUAGGUUUUCACCUGUUUACAAGAGGAGAAGUGCCCCUCACCCAUAACAAAGGGGCUCUUCUGUCCUUCUGCUUUCCACCUUCACUUCUGGUUUUCUCUUCAUGGUUUUUUUUUUUGUUCUGAUUUUUUGCUCACUCUGCUCUUAGGUUUUUCUACUAAUUAAAUUGAUUGUUUUGAUUUAUGGAAGAAGAAGAGAAAGCUCAAUAGAGAAUCUUUUUAGUCUAUUCCAUUCAAUAUCAGAAUAUCUAAACCAAGUUGUAAAUUGCAGUAUGAGAAUAAUUUUUACAAAUAUUUCUAUAAAUUUGUCAUAAUCAAGUGAUAAUACCCUUUGAGUUUGGAAAUGGGAACUUAGAAGAUAGGUCAUGAAUCUUGGUUGAUAUUGAGACUAUUACGCCUACUCAUGUUUUUAAUGUUGAUGAUUUCACUAGUGUAUUUAAUUUGAAGUGGUUUGAGGCUAACAAAACAGAAUCUAUUGGGGUUGAUGUUGUUGGUGUGCUAACAUUGGCAAAUGCUUGCGAGGACCAUAGCCUCUCCUUGUGAAUUAUGCCUUUAGUGGCAAUUUGAAACAUAAACCAAAUUCUAAUGCUUCUUUCUACUCUAAAACCCAAGUCAAGGCGAGUUCCAAAAAGUAUACAAUCUUGGUUAGAUGAUUAGAUGUCCGAUGAAUUUGGUGCAUCAGGACUUAUUGAUUUUUAUAAUCAGUAUAUAUUGCGAGUGAAUUUGUCUUUGACCCUUUUAAAAUUUUGUGUUAGGUUGCUUCUAAAAGAUUAUGAUUUAUGAAAAUGUAUGAACCCUCAAAAUUCAAUUUCCAAUAUCCUCUGAACUUAGCAAUUCACACAACUUCAUCACUAAGAUGACAAGAUCAGAUAAAGUGGCUAAAGUAUCAUUAUAUCUUGCAUAUCAAAACAAAGAGGGUCACUAGAGUUGAGUUGAACAAGAGACUCAGACACAAAGAACAACAGAAAAAAGCAGCAGAAGCUAAGAAGUUGGAGGACUUGUCGAAAGAAAUUGACAGCAUACCUGAAAUUAUGGAGGAAAUCAAGCAAGAUGAUGAGGAAAAGCAGAAGAACAUGCUAAGAUAGGUUAAAGGCACGGCCACCACGCUUAGGAAAGCACAAUGUUCAGUGAGCAUUACACACUCCUUUGUGCAAUUUAGAAACAAAGAUCAAUAUCAGCAUAAAAUAUCUCCGUAGCUCUCCACUUUUUGCAUUCAAUCUCAGCUACCUAUCCGCUAGAGAAGACCAUUAUUAAAAUGACAAAAUACCAUUUUACUUCUGGCAUUUUGUUUCGGAGAUAUCAUUGUCUUGAACUCUUGAUUUGUUAUUAAUUUACUCUUGUGAUAUUUUAGCCAUCUUUAGGUUGCUUUAUUUUUGUGUUUGUUUGGAUGUAGAAGCAAUUGAGCAGCUUUGUAAGACCAACAUUUUUUUAA